AAAAGCCUUUGUGUGAGUAGUGUCCAGUGUUCCUUUGUCUGCCUGCCUGAUGUGAUCUUGUUUUUGCCUCACAGAUUUCUCUGCCCUUGCCUUGCCCUUAUCCGAUACCUCACUGGAUUCUGGACACUGACCUGUUUCUGUGCCCUGACCACCGCACUCUGCCUGUUCACUGGGUUUAUUAACCUGCGAGCUUGUGUGACGUUAUCCUGCUGUCAUUUAACCACCGCACCGAGGAGCUGAAAUUCACCUUCUGUAUUCUCCCACGGAUUCCAAAAAGUUUCCUGAGCCUGACGCUGGUGGUGGUUUCCUACCGAACGUCGCCCAGAGCUUUUAAUAAACCUCUUGAAUUUUAUCUGUCUGGUUGAAAUUCCGGGUCCUCAGAACCUCCCGUUAGAGACAGGGCAUGUGGGGUCAAAAACAUUAAAUGAUAUGCUGAGAAACGCGUUACCUUGUAUUACUAAUAACAGUUAGCCUAGCCUCUUAAGCAUAUCGAUGACCAAACCCUUUGACUUUUUGAGCUUUGGAAACUCAUGGUGUUUGGAACAUGGCUAAUGUGUAUGAUAUAAUGUCAUUCCCCAAGUUCUUAAGUUUUUUUACCACUCUACUUGUCUUUUGAGAAGCUUCUGAAAGAAGCAAAUGUCAACAUGACUGUCAGAUACUCUGUGAACUGCCUAAUGUUGCUGUGUUUGUAAUGGUGCUCUCAGAGAUGGAACCAAGUCAUUGCACUGCAAGUCACAAUUGUCUUUCCACAAAACUCUUGAGUCAAGUCCAAGUAAAGACCUGCCCUGCCACGCCUCAAUGCAAGGAGUUCCUCUUUAAAGGGAAACUAAACCCGACGCAAAAGCAUAACCCCGCCCAAAGUGAGACUGAGGGGCAGGGCCAAGUGUGGGGAUGAGUGGAGGGGGUUAAGCAGGGGUGUGAUCAGGAGGACAAGAGUGAGCAGAGUGACACUGGUAGUUUCACCCUGGAUAGAUCAAACUGGUAAGGCCUGACCGUUAUCAGUUGGAGCUGCUGACACGGCGACGUCAGUGCUGACGAGGCAGUGGAGUAGCACUUUAAACUCUGGACUUGCCAGGUGUGUGUCUGAGUGAAAUGAUUUUAUACCCAAACGCAGGGGCUGUGACAUAAGCAUGUACCAAGCUGUAACAUUUGAACCAAUUGGAAAAUUCAACUACAGUAGCCACCAUUCAACCCAAAGAGGGCAGCACUAAGAUGGUUUUAGGAUAUAUUUUGCAGAAUUAAACAAGUUUACAUGAAAUUUUAAAAAUUGCACAGUAACAAACACAGCACACUUAAGACAGCAGUUUAAUCCUCAAAAGUUGAUUUGGGAUUUAGUUCCUCUUUAAGAUAACAAUAAGCAUACAUUUGUUCUAGAAUUAGCUUUUGAUUCAUUGUUCUUUAAGAAAUUAGAUGCUUGCCCCUCUUUUAGCUUUCAGCUCACAUGUUUUCCUAACCUAAAUUUAUUUCUUUUUGAUCACAUUGUAGGCUGUCAGCAAAUUAAAUUAUGUGUAAUGUUUCUGUUGUGUUUGACAUGGAGAUUAUGAGAGUUUCCUAAAACCUGUCUGGAAAUGAAAAAAUCUUACUUUCACUUACUAUAGAAAUGUAUAUUUGACACUUAGUAAAAUACACCGGAUCAUAUGAAUAAAAUGUAUUUAAACAAUUUG